UACGUAGGGGGGCAAGCGUUGUCCGGAUUUAUUGGGCGUAAAGAGCGUGUAGGCGGUCCGGUAAGUCCGCUGUGAAAGUCCAGGGCUCAACCCUGGAAUGCCGGUGGAUACUGCCGGGCUAGAGUCCGGAAGAGGCGAGUGGAAUUCCUGGUGUAGCGGUGAAAUGCGCAGAUAUCAGGAGGAACACCGAUGGCGAAGGCAGCUCGCUGGGACGGUACUGACGCUGAGACGCGAAAGCGUGGGGAGCAAACAGG
rnacentral:rRNA from 1 species